AACGAACGCUGGCGGCGCGUCUUAAGCAUGCAAGUCGAGCGGGAUUCUGUGGCUUGCCACGGAUGAGAGCGGCGGACUGGUGAGUAACGCGUGGGCGACGCGCCCCCCGGACGGGGACAGCCCCGGGAAACCGGGGGUAAUACCGGACGAUGCCGCGGGGACGGAAUGCCCCGUGGCGAAAGGCGGCCUAGGCCGCGCCGGGGGAGCGGCCCGCGUCCCAUCAGCUUGUAGGCGGGGUGACGGCCCACCUAGGCGACGACGGGUACCCGGCCUGAGAGGGCGGACGGGCACAUUGGGACUGAGAUACGGCCCAGACUCCUGCGGGAGGCAGCAGCUAAGGAUAUUCCGCAACGGGCGGAAGCCCGGCGGAGCGACGCCGCGUGGACGAGGAAGGCCGGAAGGUUGCAGAGUCCUUUUGCGGGGGAAGAAGGAGCCGCGGAGGGAAUGCCGCGGCGGCGACCGAACCCCGCGAAUAAGGGGCGGCUAAUUACGUGCCAGCAGCCGCGGUAACACGUAAGCCCCGAGCGUUGUUCGGAAUCAUUGGGCGUAAAGGGCGCGUAGGCGGCCGCUCAAGCCCGGAGUGAAAGGCGGGGGCCCAACCCCCGGACUGCUCCGGGAACUGGGCGGCUGGAGUCGCCGAGGGGGAGCCGGAAUUCCUGGUGUAGGGGUGAAAUCUGUAGAUAUCAGGAAGAACACCGAUGGCGAAGGCAGGCUUCCAGCGGACGACUGACGCUGAGGCGCGAAGGCGCGGGGAGCGAACAGGAUUAGAUACCCUGGUAGUCCGCGCGGUCAACGAUGCGCACUGGGUGUCCGGGCAUGGCCUGGGCGCCGAAGCGAACGCGUUAAGUGCGCCGCCUGGGGAGUAUGCCCGCAAGGGUGAAACUCAAAGGAAUUGACGGGGGCCCGCACAAGCGGUGGAGCAUGUGGUUUAAUUCGAUGGUACACGAGGAACCUUACCCGGGCUUGACAUCCGCGGGGAGCGCGCGGAGACGCGCGCGCGCGGCAACGCGCCCGCGGACAGGUGCUGCAUGGCUGUCGUCAGCUCGUGCCGUGAGGUGUUGGGUUAAGUCCCGCAACGAGCGCAACCCCUGCCGCCGGUUGCCAGCGAGUGGAGUCGGGCACUCUGGCGGGACUGCCGGCGACAAGCCGGAGGAAGGCGGGGACGACGUCAAGUCAUCAUGGCCCUUAUGUCCGGGGCGACACACGUGCUACAAUGGCGGGGACAGGGCGAGGCGAGGCCGCGAGGCGGAGCGGAGCGCUCAAAUCCCGCCGUAGUUCGGAUCGGAGUCUGAAACCCGACUCCGUGAAGCCGGAAUCGCUAGUAAUCGCGCAUCAGCACGGCGCGGUGAAUACGUUCCCGGGCC
rnacentral:rRNA from 1 species